GAUGAACGCUGGCGGCGUGCCUAAUACAUGCAAGUCGAGCGAACAGACGAGGAGCUUGCUCCUCUGAUGUUAGCAGCGGACGGGUGAGUAACACGUGGAUAACCUACCUAUAAGACUGGGAUAACUUCGGGAAACCGGAGCUAAUACCGGAUAAUAUAUUGAACCGCAUGGUUCAAUAGUGAAAGACGGUUUUGCUGUCACUUAUAGAUGGAUCCGCGCCGCAUUAGCUAGUUGGUAAGGUAACGGCUUACCAAGGCGACGAUGCGUAGCCGACCUGAGAGGGUGAUCGGCCACACUGGAACUGAGACACGGUCCAGACUCCUACGGGAGGCAGCAGUAGGGAAUCUUCCGCAAUGGGCGAAAGCCUGACGGAGCAACGCCGCGUGAGUGAUGAAGGUCUUCGGAUCGUAAAACUCUGUUAUUAGGGAAGAACAAAUGUGUAAGUAACUAUGCACGUCUUGACGGUACCUAAUCAGAAAGCCACGGCUAACUACGUG
rnacentral:rRNA from 1 species